rnacentral:tRNA from 1 species
AGCAGUGUGGCUUAGUGGAAAGAGCACAGGCUUGGGAGUUAGAGGUUGUGGGUUCUAAUCCCACAUCUGCCA